rnacentral:rRNA from 1 species
GAUGAACGCUGGCGGCGUGCCUAAUACAUGCAAGUCGAGCGAAUGGAUUAAGAGCUUGCUCUUAUGAAGUUAGCGGCGGACGGGUGAGUAACACGUGGGUAACCUGCCCAUAAGACUGGGAUAACUCCGGGAAACCGGGGCUAAUACCGGAUAACAUUUUGAACCGCAUGGUUCGAAAUUGAAGGGCGGCUUCGGCUGUCACUUCUGGAUGGACCAGCGGCGCAUUAGCUAGUUGUGGAGGUAACGGCUCACCAAGGCAACGAUGCGUAGCCGACCUGAGAGGGUGAUCGGCCACACUGGGACUGAGACACGGCCCAGACUCCUACGGGAGGCAGCAGUAGGGAAUCUUCCGCAAUGGACGAAAGUCUGACGGAGCAACGCCGCGUGAGUGAUGAAGGCUUUCGGGUCGUAAAACUCUGUUGUUAGGGAAGAACAAGUGCUAGUUGAAUAAGCUGGCACCUUGACGGUACCUAACCAGAAAGCCACGGCUAACUACGUGCCAGCCGCCGCCGUAA